GAGGAAUUCGGAGACAGGUGCUGCAUGGCUGUCGUCAGCUCGUGUCGUGAGAUGUUGGUUAAGUCCGCAACGAGCGCAACCCUUGUCUUUAGUUGCCAUCAUUAAGUUGGGCACUCUAAAGAGACUGCCGGUGUCAAACCGGAGGAAGGUGGGGAUGACGUCAAGUCCUCAUGGCCUUUAUGACCAGGGCUACACACGUACUACAAUGGCAGGUACAAAGGGCAGCCACUUAGCGAUAAGGCGCGAAUCCCGUAAAACCUGUCUCAGUCCGGAUUGGAGUCUGCAACUCGACUCCAUGAAGUUGGAAUCGCUAGUAAUCGCAGAUCAGCACGCUGCGGUGAAUACGUUCCCGGGCCUU
rnacentral:rRNA from 1 species